rnacentral:rRNA from 1 species
AUUAGAUAGUUGGUGGGGUAACGGCCUACCAAGUCUACGAUCUAUAGCUGGUUUUAGAGGAUGAUCAGCAACACUGGGACUGAGACACGGCCCAGACUCCUACGGGAGGCAGCAGUGGGGAAUCUUGGACAAUGGGCGCAAGUGAUCCAGCCAUGCCGCGUGAGUGACGAAGGCCCUAGGGUCGUAAAGCUCUUUCGCCAGGGAUGAUAAUGACAGUACCUGGUAAAGAAACCCCGGCUAACUCCGUGCCAGCAGCCGCGGUAAUACGGAGGGGGUUAGCGUUGUUCGGAAUUACUGGGCGUAAAGCGCGCGUAGGGGAUUGGAAAGUUGGGGGUGAAAUCCCAGGGCUCAACCCCGGAACUGCCUCCAAAACUAUCAGUCUAGAGUUCGAGAGAGGUGAGUGGAAUUCCAAGUGUAGAGGUGAAAUUCGUAGAUAUUCGGAGGAACACCAGUGGCGAAGGGGCUCACUGGCUCGAUACUGACGCUGAGGUGCGAAAGUGUGGGGAGCAAACAGGAUUAGAUACCCUGGUAGUCCACACCGUAAACGAUGAAUGCCAGACGUCGGGUAGCAUACUAUUCGGUGUCACACCUAACGGAUUAAGCAUUCCGCCUGGGGAGUACGGUCGCAAGAUUAAAACUCAAAGGAAUUGACGGGGGCCC